rnacentral:rRNA from 1 species
CGGGUGAGUAACGCGUGGGAAUGUGCCCUUCUCUACGGAAUAGUCCUGGGAAACUGGGGGUAAUACCGUAUACGCCCUUUGGGGGAAAGAUUUAUCGGAGAAGGAUCAGCCCGCGUUGGAUUAGGUAGUUGGUGGGGUAAUGGCCUACCAAGCCUACGAUCCAUAGCUGGUUUGAGAGGAUGAUCAGCCACACUGGGACUGAGACACGGCCCAGACUCCUACGGGAGGCAGCAGUGGGGAAUCUUAGACAAUGGGGGCAACCCUGAUCUAGCCAUGCCGCGUGAGUGAUGAAGGCCUUAGGGUUGUAAAGCUCUUUCAGCUGGGAAGAUAAUGACGGUACCAGCAGAAGAAGCCCCGGCUAACUCCGUGCCAGCAGCCGCGGUAAUACGGAGGGGGCUAGCGUUGUUCGGAAUUACUGGGCGUAAAGCGCACGUAGGCGGACUGGAAAGUUGGGGGUGAAAUCCCGGGGCUCAACCCCGGAACUGCCUUCAAAACUAUCAGUCUUGAGUUCGAGAGAGGUGAGUGGAAUUCCGAGUGUAGAGGUGAAAUUCGUAGAUAUUCGCGAGGAACACCAGUGGCGAAGGCGGCUCACUGGCUCGAUACUGACG